UGUGGGCAAUCUCGUUGGUAC
rnacentral:siRNA from 1 species